rnacentral:rRNA from 1 species
UGAGGAAUAUUGGGCAAUGCCCGCAAGGGUGACCCAGCAACGCCGCGUGGAGGAUGAAUGUCGUAAGAUUGUAAACUCCUGUUAGAGGGGAAGAUUAGUACCGGUUGGACCGGUAUAUGACUGUACCCUCAGAGAAAGCCCCGGCUAACUACGUGCCAGCAGCCGCGGUAAUACGUAGGGGGCAAGCGUUGUCCGGAUUUACUGGGUGUAAAGGGCGCGCAGGCGGGAUAAAAAGUCAGUGGUGAAAUCCUACAGCUUAACUGUAGAACUGCCUUUGAUACUUUUAUUCUUGAGUUCGGGAGAGAGAGACGGAAUUCCAGGUGUAGUGGUGAAAUACGUAGAUAUCUGGAAGAACACCAGUUGCGAAGGCGGUCUCUUGGUCCGACACUGACGCUGAGGCGCGAAAGCGUGGGGAGCAAACA